rnacentral:rRNA from 1 species
GACGAACGCUGGCGGCGUGCUUAACACAUGCAAGUCGAACGGAGAAUUUAUUUCGGUAAAUUCUUAGUGGCGAACGGGUGAGUAACGCGUGGGCAACCUGCCCUUCAGAUGGGGACAACAUUCCGAAAGGGGUGCUAAUACCGAAUACGAUCACGCUGCCGCAUGGCGGUGUGAUGAAAGAUGGCCUCUAUUUAUAAGCUAUCGCUGAAGGAUGGGCCUGCGUCUGAUUAGCUAGUUGGUGGGGUAACGGCCUACCAAGGCGAUGAUCAGUAGCCGGUCUGAGAGGAUGAACGGCCACAUUGGGACUGAGACACGGCCCAAACUCCUACGGGAGGCAGCAGUGGGGAAUAUUCCGCAAUGGACGAAAGUCUGACGGAGCAACGCCGCGUGAGUGAUGAAGGUUUUCGGACUGUAAAACUCUGUUGUUUAGGACGAAAGUGCCUGUUGCAAAUAGUUGCAGGUAUUGACGGUACUGAACGAGGAAGCCACGGCUAACU